rnacentral:rRNA from 2 species
GAACGAACGCUGGUCGCAGGCUUAACACAUGCAAGUCGAGCGCCCCGCAAGGGGAGCGGCAGACGGGAGAGUCCCCACGUGGGAACGUACCCUUCAGUUCGGAACAACCCAGGGAAACUUGGGCUAAUACCGGAUACGUCCGUAAGGAGAAAGAUUUAUCGCUGAAGGAUCGGCCCGCGUCUGAUUAGCUUGUUGGUGAGGUAACGGCUCACCAAGGCGACGAUCAGUAGCUGGUCUGAGAGGAUGAUCAGCCUCACUGGGACUGAGACACGGCCCAGACUCCUACGGGAGGCAGCAGUGGG